CCCUUAGAUGUUCUGGGCCGCACGCGCGCUACAAUGGUCUUCGCAAACGGAUGCAUUCUCGAAGGAGAAUGCCAAUCUUGGAAUCUAUGCCUUGGUCGGGACAGUUGCUUGCAAUUUUUCGACUCGAACCAGGAAUUCCUUGUAAUCGUGAUUCAUCACAUCACGAUGAAUACGUCCCUGCCCUUUGUACACACCGCCCGUCGCUCCUACCGAUCGAAGAGUUAGGUGAAUUGUUUUGAUCGAUAAGAUUUGACUAUGGUCAACUCUCGUUGUGAAAUUCUCUGAAUCUGACUGUUUAGAGGAAGGAAAAGUCGUAACA
rnacentral:rRNA from 1 species